AUGAACGCUGGCGGCGUGCCUAAUACAUGCAAGCCGAGCGAACGGACGAGAAGCUUGCUUCUCUGAUGUUAGCGGCGGACGGGUGAGUAACACGUGGAUAACCUACCUAUAAGACUGGGAUAACUUCGGGAAACCGGAGCUAAUACCGGAUGAUAUUUUGAACCGCAUGGUUCAAAAGUGAAAGACGGUCUUGCUGUCACUUAUAGAUGGAUCCGCGCUGCAUUAGCUAGUUGGUAAGGUAACGGCUUACCAAGGCAACGAUGCAUAGCCGACCUGAGAGGGUGAUCGGCCACACUGGAACUGAGACACGGUCCAGACUCCUACGGGAGGCAGCAGUAGGGAAUCUUCCGCAAUGGGCGAAAGCCUGACGGAGCAACGCCGCGUGAGUGAUGAAGGUCUUCGGAUCGUAAAACUCUGUUAUUAGGGAAGAACAUAUGUGUAAGUAACUGUGCACAUCUUGACGGUACCUAAUCAGAAAGCCACGGCUAACUACGUG
rnacentral:rRNA from 1 species